rnacentral:rRNA from 1 species
ACGCAUCACUGGUGUUCGGGUUGUCAUGCCAAUGGCAUUGCCCGGUAGCUAAAUGCGGAAGAGAUAAGUGCUGAAAGCAUCUAAGCACGAAACUUGCCCCGAGAUGAGUUCUCCCUGACUCCUUGAGGGUCCUGAAGGAACGUUGAAGACGACGACGUUGAUAGGCCGGGUGUGUAAGCGCAGCGAUGCGUUGAGCUAACCGGUACUAAUGAACCGUGAGGCUUAACCUUACAACGCCGAAG